rnacentral:RNase_P_RNA from 1 species
UAACGCCCAGGCGGGGCAACCCGACGGAAAAGGGCCACAGAAAAGUAGACAGCCUGGGCAGCCUUGGCUGCCCAGGUGAUGGUGAAAAGGUGGUGUAAGAGACCACCGGCGUCCGCGGUGACGCGGGCGGCCAGGUAACCCCCACCGGGAGCAAGGCCAAGCAGGGGCAAGUCCGCUUCGGCGGCGCGAGACGGCCCGUCUCGUUUGAGCCCCGGGUAGGCUGCGUGAGGCGGCGGGUAACCGUCGUCCCAGAUAGAUGACCGCCCGCGACAGAACCCGGCUUAUCGGCCGGCUUGGGCG